AGAACGAACGCUGGCGGCAUGCCUAAUACAUGCAAGUCGAGCGGUAAGGCCUUUCGGGGUACACGAGCGGCGAACGGGUGAGUAACACGUGGGUGAUCUGCCCUGCACUUCGGGAUAAGCCUGGGAAACUGGGUCUAAUACCGGAUAUGACCUCCUAUCGCAUGGUGGGUGGUGGAAAGAUUUAUCGGUGCAGGAUGGGCCCGCGGCCUAUCAGCUUGUUGGUGGGUAAUGGCCUACCAAGGCGACGACGGGUA
rnacentral:rRNA from 1 species